AAGCCUCUGUAAGUACAGUAGAAAAGCACAAGAUAAUGUUUUAUUCAUGACCUUAAAGAAAAACAGGCCUGAAAUAGGUAUAAUUUAGUUGAUGAGUGUGAUGCAUGCUAGAGCAGAUCAUAUGUUUAGCCAUAUGUGUCUGCCCAUACAGUCAAUGAACCUGAUUAACAUUCAAUGUUAUUUAAUAUUAUUAUGUUAUUGGGGUUUUUGUCAUUUAUGAAGUUCUGUUCUGUAGACAGCUUGAAAGAAACAUUGCUUUAAACAGACAUUGAUUGCAUGUAUUGCUCAUUAUUCUGCUGUGAACUUCUGAAGGAUGAACCUUAAUCGAAAAGUAUCUUAGUUCCUGCAGAAAAUUUGCUUAAAUCCUUUUGGGGAAAUUAUACAGUCUAUGAUAAUUCUCCCUUUUAAUAAAAAUGUGAGACUUCAAAAAUAAAUACAAUUUUAGAUACUGAUAGAAACAUGGAUAAUAGUUAAUACCCCAAAUUAGAUUAUUUUCCAACACCACUAUUAUUCUUUGUAUAUUUCACAAAAAGAAAAAAACAUGCAUUGCAAAAACUUACAUGCAUUCAUGUUAGAUUCCAUACUUUUUGUAACCAUUUAAGUUAUAUUUAGUGUUCUUAUUUAUCCAUAAAACAUCUUGCAAAGUGACAAAGAAAUCACAAAAACAUUGUAAGUUCUCAGCGUCAUCUCUAACCGUUACAGGGCACAAACAACUGGAGACUCAUAUAUGAAGUAAACAUUUAAGUUAAAGAAAAAUUAACCUUAUCAAUAAUAUGAUUAUAAAUUUGCUGCUAUAGAAAUGAUAACAUUCUAAAAAGCGAGCACUAAUAUUAACCUGUGAUUUGCCUUGCAGGCAGAACAAAAUUAACCCCUUCUGAUUAAUCAGAAUUGAGAAUUCAACAUCAUGGUAGAAAGCAGAAGAGAAGAAUAUGUGUGGAUUAAUGGUAGUCCAGUUUCUCCCAUAAGGCCUCAUCAUAACCCAUCUGCAUGAACUGCUGGAUCCACUGCUGCACGUCUGGACGGCUGCGGUCCCACACGUUUCUUCGAGGUCUCCGGGGAGCUGACAGGAAUUCCUUAGCUUUGACCUGAGAGACAACAAGUUCGUCUACAGAUCUCCUCUGGACUGUGAAAGAGAUGAUACCGCAGCUUCUGCUCGGAUCUCGGCAUGCCUGGUGGACUUUCCACUCAGCAACUAAAACUCAACCCCAGCAAAACCGAACUGCUGGUCAUCCCAGGUGAUUCAACUCCAGUGAGAUCUCACACAUCAGCAAAACUACGAGUGGAAGUGACGGUUCUUCCCCAAUUACUAUUAUAGCUCAACAAUCACACAAACUACUGACUGUAUUCCAAAAAACUGAAGAACUCUGAGGGGGAAAAAGAAUGUUCACAGCCCACAUGAUCUGCCACUGAGACUUACAAAAAGCCUCUAACUGUUUGUUCAGAUUUCCUGAAGGAUAAUUUAAUAUAUAGCAAGAGCAGACAGCUCAAAAAUGAUUGUUUCAGAUGUUUCAGUACCUAGAAUCCAAGUCUUUCCCUCUGGUUACUUGCUCCUCGACUUGCCUCUCUACUCAUUUCCAUAUUUUUGAUCAGCAGUCCCUCAGAAGUGUCAGACACAGUCGUUCAUUAAACACCUCUCACAUCCUUAUUGCCUGCUUUGUUGUCUGUUCCUCUGUUGUUUUUUCCUCAAAGAAAAUUUUCUUUCUAAUGUUACAAGCUUUCGAAAAAUGAAAAUUAUAUUACAUAUUGGGCUAUGCUCAUUUGUUUUUGUUUCGAAAAGCGUUAAAAAAAAUGAUUAAAAUGUAAAAUAGUUCAAAUAUGCCUCAUUUAUAAGCUUGCCAUCUGAUUUUUUGACAUUUUAUGGCACUCUUAACAUGGAUCACUAGGUGCUUUUCAACAGCACCUUGAGUGACAGAAACUGGAACACGUCAUCUACUUGUAAUCUUAUGCCGCCCACAAAGCCUUCACUGCUGAACAAUCCUGAACAGCCCAGCAUAGCCCUGUGUUUUACUAGAUUGUCUAUGAUCUCUGAAUAUGUUGCUCUAGUUUGUAUUAUCAAAUUUUUCAUUCAUGCAAAUGGAUUCAGAGUGAACAUUUCUUCCACACAAAAGUCUGCCAAUUAAAUUUCUUUUUACCUCUAGGUUAGGAUUGUCAGAUUGGAAAAACUGUGCACUUUAGGGGAUUGAUCACAUUUGGAAUUGUGAGAUUUUAAAAUUGUUUGUAUGUAUG